CUGACACUCAUAGCACCCUCACUCACACUCACACACAUACUGCACCCCUGACACUCACAACACCCUCACUCACACACACAGCACCCUCACUCUCACACACACACAGUGCACCCCUGACACUCACAGCACCCCCCACACACACACUUCUCCGCUAACCCUCACAGCACCCUCACUUACGCACACACACUGCACCCCUGACACUCACAGCACCCACACUCACACACACACAC